rnacentral:rRNA from 1 species
UACGUAGGUGGCUAGCGUUGUCCGGAUUUACUGGGCGUAAAGAGCGCGCAGGCGGUCGUUCAAGUCGAGUGUGAAAGCCCCCGGCUCAACUGGGGAGGGUCACUCGAUACUGAUCGACUCGAAGGCAGGAGAGGGAAGCGGAAUUCCCGGUGUAGUGGUGAAAUGCGUAGAUAUCGGGAGGAACACCAGUGGCGAAGGCGGCUUCUGGCCUGUAACCGACGCUGAGGCGCGAAAGCGUGGGGAGCAAACAGG